AGUGAACGCUGGCGGUAGGCCUAACACAUGCAAGUCGAACGGCAGCACAGUAAGAGCUUGCUCUUACGGGUGGCGAGUGGCGGACGGGUGAGGAAUACAUCGGAAUCUACUUUUUCGUGGGGGAUAACGUAGGGAAACUUACGCUAAUACCGCAUACGACCUACGGGUGAAAGCAGGGGAUCUUCGGACCUUGCGCGAUUGAAUGAGCCGAUGUCGGAUUAGCUAGUUGGCGGGGUAGAGGCCCACCAAGGCGACGAUCCGUAGCUGGUCUGAGAGGAUGAUCAGCCACACUGGAACUGAGACACGGUCCAGACUCCUACGGGAGGCAGCAGUGGGGAAUAUUGGACAAUGGGCGCAAGCCUGAUCCAGCCAUACCGCGUGGGUGAAGAAGGCCUUCGGGUUGUAAAGCCCUUUUGUUGGGAAAGUAAAGCAGCAGGUUAAUACCCCGCUGUUCUGACGGUACCCAAAGAAUAAGCACCGGCUAACUUCGUG
rnacentral:rRNA from 1 species